rnacentral:rRNA from 1 species
CACGAACGCUGGCGGCAGGCUUAACACAUGCAAGUCGAGCGCCCCGCAAGGGGAGCGGCAGACGGGUGAGUAACGCGUGGGAAUCUACCCAUCUCUACGGAAUAACGCAUGGAAACGUGUGCUAAUACCGUAUACGUCCUUCGGGAGAAAGAUUUAUCGGAGAUGGAUGAGCCCGCGUGGGAUUAGCGAGUUGGUGGGGUAAAGGCCUACCAAGGCGACGAUCCAUAGCUGGUCUGGGAGGAUGAUCAGCCACACUGGGACUGAGACACGGCCCAGACUCCUACGGGAGGCAGCAGUGGGGAAUAUUGGACAAUGGGCGCAAGCCUGAUCCAGCCAUGCCGCGUGAGUGUUGAAGGCCCUAGGGUUGUAAAGCUCUUUCACCGGUGAAGAUAAUGACGGUAACCGGAGAAGAAGCCCCGGCUAACUUCGUGCCAGCAGCCGCCGUAACAC